rnacentral:rRNA from 1 species
GGGUAUGAUCAUACCAGCACUAAUGCACCGGAUCCCAUCAGAACUCCGCAGUUAACCGUGCUUGCGCGAGAGUAGUACUAGGAUGGUCGACCUCCCGGGAAGUCCUCAUGUUGCACCCC